rnacentral:lncRNA from 1 species
GGCAAUGGAAGAUAAGUGCAGAAAUAGCCUAAGAACAUCAAAGCACGCCGAGAAACCAGAAAGUCAGCUCAGCAGAAAUUUACUCACAAUAACACAAUUGGAGCUUUCUAAAGCAUCAAGCAAGCCUGGAAGAAGCAACAAAAAUAGAUAAGGUAUUCAUAUUGCGUGUGUGGUGAGUUUCUGUGUACAAAUUAGCAAUGCCACAUUUGCAGCAGAAAUAUGAGUAAAUGUUCAUGUGACAUCAGUCUGCAACAGAUCAAUUAUCAAUAUGAAUAAAAUCCACAAUUAAAACAAAUUGUUUCUCAAUUGUAAAUGUCAAGAAUCAUUCAUUUCCAAAUUCCAAUCUCAACUACCUUUCAGUGAAUAUCAGAUAUCAAUCAUCUCCAUCAAACACAUAUAACUUCAGCUUCCCUGACAUGGC